rnacentral:misc_RNA from 1 species
UUUAAAUCUCAGAAGUCAUAGGGCGUUAAAACCUUAUGGGUCUCUGGACUUGGAUCCCUCCGCCUCUGUACUCAUCUCGGUGGGUCGUUGAGGUGGUGGUCUCAAAUGUAGGACGCUGGACGUACGGGCUUACCCGACGACCAUUACUGCCGUUCUCUCAUCUCCAUUCACUUGGUGUAUUGGUUUUGCGCCAUUAGCUUCGGCUGGUGGUCUCAACAUUUCUACGCUUAGACGGAUGGGGGUGGCUAAGGAGAGUGGGCUACAGUGAUGGACGACCCGGGCCGUCGGACGGUUGCUUGGAUCAUACUCUCUUGGACGUCAAACCUCCAAGGUGUAUUACCCCAAUUCAAA